GUUUAAUCACAAGACUACAUGGGGACCUAAUCAACCUCAGUUAUGCCCCCCCAUGCAUGGUCAACCUUGCAGCUCUCAAGUUCUAAUGGUACAAGGGAAAUUAAGUUCGUGAACAUUUUGCAAGCAUAUGAACAUAACCUCGCCACUUAUAUAAGAUGAAUUUAUAUAGACUGUGCUAUGAACAAGCUUUUCAACUGGUUUCAGCAUUAAAACAAUAGCUACUGAAACGAGGAAAGGCAAAAUGAGAGUCAGCUCAAGAAAAAUACCAGAAAAUUACCUCUUUGAGGUUAACCCAUUCCCA
rnacentral:misc_RNA from 1 species